rnacentral:rRNA from 1 species
CAGUCGCCGCGGGAAUACGUAGGGGGCAAGCGUUGUCCGGAAUUAUUGGGCGUAAAGCGCGCGCAGGCGGUCAUUUAAGUCUGGUGUUUAAUCCCGGGGCUCAACCCCGGAUCGCACUGGAAACUGGGUGACUUGAGUGCAGAAGAGGAGAGUGGAAUUCCACGUGUAGCGGUGAAAUGCGUAGAUAUGUGGAGGAACACCAGUGGCGAAGGCGACUCUCUGGGCUGUAACUGACGCUGAGGCGCGAAAGCGUGGGGAGCAAACAGGAUUAGAUACCCGGGUAGUCCCUGUCUCUUAUACA